rnacentral:rRNA from 1 species
AGAGUUUGAUCCUGGCUCAGAUUGAACGCUGGCGGCAGGCCUAACACAUGCAAGUCGAGCGGAAACGAAGAGGUGCUUGCACCUCUGGCGUCGAGCGGCGGACGGGUGAGUAAUGCUUGGGAAUAUGCCUUAUGGUGGGGGACAACAGUUGGAAACGACUGCUAAUACCGCAUAAUGUCUACGGACCAAAGUGGGGGACCUUCGGGCCUCACGCCAUAAGAUUAGCCCAAGUGGGAUUAGCUAGUUGGUGAGGUAAUGGCUCACCAAGGCGACGAUCCCUAGCUGGUUUGAGAGGAUGAUCAGCCACACUGGGACUGAGACACGGCCCAGACUCCUACGGGAGGCAGCAGUGGGGAAUAUUGCACAAUGGGCGCAAGCCUGAUGCAGCCAUGCCGCGUGUGUGAAGAAGGCCUUCGGGUUGUAAAGCACUUUCAGUAAUGAGGAAAGGUUAAGUGUUAAUAGCA